CGAGAAAGCCCGCAAGGGUGAGUACAGCGGCGCACGGGUGCGUAACACGUGAGUAAUCUGCCCUGGAGCCCGGAAUAACCUCCCGAAAGGGAAGCUAAUGCCGGAUGAGCCCACGGGGUCCUUGGACUCUGAGGGAAAAGGCGGCCUCUGUAUACAAGAUGUCACUUCAGGAUGAGCUCGCGGCCCAUCAGCUAGUUGGCGGGGUAAUGGCCCACCAAGGCUACGACGGGUAGCUGGUCUGAGAGGACGAUCAGCCACACUGGAACUGAGACACGGUCCAGACUCCUACGGGAGGCAGCAGUGGGGAAUCUUGCGCAAUGGGCGAAAGCCUGCCGCAGCAACGCCGCGUGUGUGAUGAAGGUCUUCGGAUCGUAAAGCACUGUCGCGAGGGACG
rnacentral:rRNA from 1 species